CAAUAGCGUAUAUUAAAGUUGUUGCAGUUAAAAAGCUCAUAGUUGGAUUUCUGGUUGAAGCGACCGGUCGGGCGUUGAUUCGUCUGCACUGGAGUCGGUUUUGGCCAUCCUCUAGGAAAGUGCGUCUGGUAUUAAGUUAUCGGGCGUAUGAUCCUGGUCUUUUACUGUGAAAAAAUUAGAGUGUUUAAAGCAGGCCUUCGCCUUGAAUACAUUAGCAUGGAAUAAUAAGAUAGGACUUUGGUCUAUUUUGUUGGUUUGCAGACCGAAGUAAUGAUUAAUAGGGAUAGUUGGGGGUAUUUAUAUUCCGAUGUCAGAGGUGAAAUUCUUAGAUUUUCGGAAGAUAAACUUAUGCGAAAGCAUUUACCAAGGAUGUUUUCAUUA
rnacentral:rRNA from 1 species